rnacentral:rRNA from 1 species
GAGUUUGAUCAUGGCUCAGAUUGAACGCUGGCGGCAUGCCUUACACAUGCAAGUCGAACGGCAGCAUGAUCUAGCUUGCUAGAUUGAUGGCGAGUGGCGAACGGGUGAGUAAUACAUCGGAACGUGCCCUGUAGUGGGGGAUAACUAGUCGAAAGAUUAGCUAAUACCGCAUACGACCUGAGGGUGAAAGUGGGGGACCGCAAGGCCUCAUGCUAUAGGAGCGGCCGAUGUCUGAUUAGCUAGUUGGUGGGGUAAAGGCCCACCAAGGCGACGAUCAGUAGCCGGUCUGAGAGGACGAUCAGCCACACUGGGACUGAGACACGGCCCAGACUCCUACGGGAGGCAGCAGUGGGAAUUUUGGACAAUGGGCGAAAGCCUGAUCCAGCAAUGCCGCGUGUGUGAGAAGGCCU